rnacentral:rRNA from 1 species
AGCGAACGCUGGCGGCAGGCCUAACACAUGCAAGUCGAACGGACUCUUCGGAGUUAGUGGCGGACGGGUGAGUAACACGUGGGAACGUGCCUUUUGGUUCGGAAUAACUCAGGGAAACUUGUGCUAAUACCGAAUGUGCCCUUCGGGGGAAAGAUUUAUCGCCAUUAGAGCGGCCCGCGUCUGAUUAGCUAGUUGGUGAGGUAACGGCUCACCAAGGCGACGAUCAGUAGCUGGUCUGAGAGGAUGACCAGCCACACUGGGACUGAGACACGGCCCAGACUCCUACGGGAGGCAGCAGUGGGGAAUCUUGCGCAAUGGGCGAAAGCCUGACGCAGCCAUGCCGCGUGAAUGAUGAAGGUCUUAGGAUUGUAAAAUUCUUUCACCGGGGACGAUAAUGACGGUACCCGGAGAAGAAGCCCCGGCUAACUUCGUG